UACGAAGGGGGCUAGCGUUGUUCGGAUUUACUGGGCGUAAAGCGCGCGUAGGCGGCUCGUUAAGUCAGGGGUGAAAUCCUGGAGCUCAACUCCAGAACUGCCUUUGAUACUGGCGAUCUUGAGUCCGGAAGAGGUGAGUGGAACUCCUAGUGUAGAGGUGGAAUUCGUAGAUAUUAGGAAGAACACCAGUGGCGAAGGCGGCUCGCUGGUCCGGUACUGACGCUGAGGUGCGAAAGCGUGGGGAGCAAACAGG
rnacentral:rRNA from 1 species